rnacentral:rRNA from 1 species
AGUGAACCUGCGGAGGAUC